rnacentral:rRNA from 1 species
CGAGAAAGCCCGCAAGGGUGAGUAAAGCGGCGCACGGGUGCGUAACACGUGGGUAAUCUGCCCUAGAGUCUGGAAUAACUCGCCGAAAGGCGUGCUAAUGCCGGAUGAGACCACGGGAGCUUCGGCUCCUGCGGGAAAAGGUGGCCUCUGUAUACAAGCUAUCGCUCUAGGAUGAGCCCGCGGCCCAUCAGCUAGUUGGCGGGGUAAUGGCCCACCAAGGCUACGACGGGUAGCUGGUCUGAGAGGACGAUCAGCCACACUGGAACUGAGACACGGUCCAGACUCCUACGGGAGGCAGCAGUGGGGAAUCUUGCGCAAUGGGCGAAAGCCUGACGCAGCAACGCCGCGUGUGUGAUGAAGGUCUUCGGAUCGUAAAGCACUGUCGCGAGGGACG